AGUGAACGCUGGCGGUAGGCCUAACACAUGCAAGUCGAACGGCAGCACAGUAAGAGCUUGCUCUUACGGGUGGCGAGUGGCGGACGGGUGAGGAAUACAUCGGAAUCUACUUUUUCGUGGGGGAUAACGUAGGGAAACUUACGCUAAUACCGCAUACGACCUACGGGUGAAAGCAGGGGAUCUUCGGACCUUGCGCGAUUGAAUGAGCCGAUGUCGGAUUAGCUAGUUGGCGGGGUAAAGGCCCACCAAGGCGACGAUCCGUAGCUGGUCUGAGAGGAUGAUCGGCCACACUGGAACUGGGACACGUUCCAAAUUCCUACGGGAGGCAGCAUGGGGGAAUAUUGGACAAUGGGCGCAAGCCUGAUCCAGCCAUACCGCGUGGGUGAAGAAGGCCUUCGGGUUGUAAAGCCCUUUUGUUGGGAAAGAAAAGCAGCAGGUUAAUACCCCGCUGUUCUGACGGUACCCAAAGAAUAAGCACCGGCUAACUUCGU
rnacentral:rRNA from 1 species